rnacentral:lncRNA from 1 species
GUCUGGCAGUGCAAGAGAGGCUGCCAUGAGUGUGCUAAGUUUCUGAUUUCUGUGAUCAUAGCAAGAUUGUCCUAAAUUAGACACAAGGCCACAUCAUUUGCAAUCUCAAGCAAAAUGAUGGUGAUCCUCUUCCAGCACGGACAAAGUCAGUUCACCUGGCUGAUUCAUAAACGCGUCGCAGAUCCAUUCCUUCUCAGUUCGGGGGUAUUUGGUGAUUGGGAAGUAACGCUCAAGCUCUACUGAAAGCUGAGUUUGGCUUUGAAUGCAGCUGCUUAAUCUACUGACUAUCUGCCGACUUGAACACAGUUGCCGUUCUCCCCUGAAGUGACAGAUUAAGUUUGUGGAGCAGGUUGAAUGUGUCACACAAACUUUGAAUGUUUGAGACUACCUUGGCCACCAGAUUGUGUUACCUGGAAGUUUGGUCCCAAGCAAGAAGCCACAGGGAGAGACAGCGAGGCAACUCUAUGCACAUGCAAUGAACACUGAGACUGAUAUCACUGAGACUUUCAGAGGACAAUGGACUCAUUAUGGAUCUCACAUCUUUCCUAGACUCUGUUCUUUGCUCUUGGGUCUUCUCUACUCAGACUACCUGCCCCCAAAUGCUCCAUCCUCACCAAAAUAUAAAGAUUGAGAAGAAAGUGGGACAAAGGGUGUGGAAUAAAAAAUGUAAGAUUGGCUAUCACCCCAAGGUGAUCAAAUCUAAUGUUGGCUUUGCUCCAGCGGAUCUGUGACCAAUUUUGUAUCAGUCCCAGAGCACAGCGAGCCUGUUCAGGCUCUUGUAAGUGAGGACCUGUGGUUGAAGAGUAAAAUUUUUGUGACUUUAAUCCUUCUUUUCUCCAGACUGGAGGGUCAUGAUGGUACAGUGGGAAUACCUUGGGCCUGGCUGCCAGGCCGACCUGCACAAAGAUGGUUGUCCCUGUGGGAGGGGCACAGACAUUGUGCAGGUUGCACACAAAAACAGAACUAGGGUCUCUGGCAGCGGAAAUGAGUCAUACAGAGAGCCGUUUAGAGGUUUCUCAAUACAGUUCUUGGGCUUAUUAAGGUUGAGUAAUGGCAAUUAGUGUGGAGGCAAAUUGGAACAACAGUGACAGUGUUGAUUAUGAAGCAAAUGAAGAAGCUCAAAAGGAAGGCAUUUUCUUGGAGUGCCUCAAAGAAUUCUGCCCUUUAAUUAUCUGCCCUCUCAGUGUAGAGAGAGUGAGAUAUCACUGGAAAACACUGGAGGGCCAUUUGUGGUGACACAGAAGCCUCUCAUACAGACAGGAAGCAAAUGAAUGGCAGGGGAUGUGAGUUUGGAUGGAAGGGCUGUCAUGGGGAUUCAGAUUGGAUUCUAGAGUCAGGUGCAUUGUGGUCCUUGCCUGAUGCAGGAGGUUUGGACUCAGAUUUUUCUGAAGACAACAUAAGCAGAGAAACAAGGUGUGAAGACAAGCUUGUUUGAGGAUGUUGGCACCAUGACAAAGUUAUUUACUGUACCCCAUCCCAGUGCCCAGAUGAACAAUAUGAACAUGAUAGGGAUGCAGUUCACAUGUGUUCCAUUUUAGAGUUUGCUUUAAAAAUUUAUAUCCAUGUCAUAACCUUCUGAUUAGGAUUUGAGAGAACUGAUUGUCAAAGUGAACUAUAUUUUUAGGAAAGUGUUAUUUUAUAUUAUUCUGAUGCUAUAAAAGCCAAGAUUGCUAAACUGAAGGACUCUGUAACGUGAGAAGCAUAUCAUAUUCUAAGUAUCCCUAAGGUGUCUCUCUUGACCUCAGCACUAACAGCUGGUAAUGGCAGGGAUUGCUGUUAUUUCACAUGUGACCCACGAUGGUGAGACAUACUCACCCACCCAGGGCGAGGGGGAAGAGGGGAGAUUGCCACAUAUUUCCAGCUGGCAUAGCAAUUGUAGUAUUAAGAAGGUGAAAGAUUCAUAUCUAAUCAAAUAACCUCAGAUAAGUGUGUCCUGGGCUGUUGUCCCUGUGGCUUUAACAAGUCACUUGGUGAUGCACAAACUGAAUGCAGCUGAACUCUGCCCAGGGCUGUGAUGACUGCUUUUCAUAGCUUUGAAUUCUAUUAAAAACCAGAAUGAAAA